rnacentral:rRNA from 1 species
GAUGAACGCUGGCGGCGUGCCUAAUACAUGCCAGUCGAGCGAACAGACGAGGAGCUUGCUCCUCUGACGUUAGCGGCGGACGGGUGAGUAACACGUGGAUAACCUACCUAUAAGACUGGGAUAACUUCGGGAAACCGGAGCUAAUACCGGAUAAUAUAUUGAACCGCAUGGUUCAAUAGUGAAAGACGGUUUUGCUGUCACUUAUAGAUGGAUCCGCGCCGCAUUAGCUAGUUGGUAAGGUAACGGCUUACCAAGGCAACGAUGCGUAGCCGACCUGAGAGGGUGAUCGGCCACACUGGAACUGAGACACGGUCCAGACUCCUACGGGAGGCAGCAGUAGGGAAUCUUCCGCAACGGGCGAAAGCCUGACGGAGCAACGCCGCGUGAAUGAUGAAGGUCUUCGGAUCGUAAAACUCUGUUAUUAGGGAAGAACAAAUGUGUAAGUAACUAUGCACGUCUUGACGGUACCUAAUCAGAAAGCCACGGCUAACUACGUG